rnacentral:rRNA from 1 species
GUGGGGAAUCUUGCGCAAUGGGCGAAAGCCUGACGCAGCCAUGCCGCGUGAAUGAUGAAGGUCUUAGGAUUGUAAAAUUCUUUCACCGGGGACGAUAAUGAUGGUACCCGGAGAAGAAGCCCCGGCUAACUUCGUGCCAGCAGCCGCGGUAAUACGAAGGGGGCUAGCGUUGCUCGGAAUUACUGGGCGUAAAGGGCGCGUAGGCGGACAGUUUAGUCAGAGGUGAAAGCCCAGGGCUCAACCUUGGAAUUGCCUUUGAUAAUGGCUGUCUUGAGUACGGGAGAGGUGAGUGGAACUCCGAGUGUAGAGGUGAAAUUCGUAGAUAUUCGGAAGAACACCAGUGGCGAAGGCGACUCACUGGCCCGUUACUGACGCUGAGGCGCGAAAGCGUGGGGAGCAAACAGGAUUAGAAACCCCGGUAGUCC